rnacentral:rRNA from 1 species
UACGUAGGGUGCAAGCGUUGUCCGGAAUUAUUGGGCGUAAAGGGUGCGUAGGUGGCGAGGUAAGUUGGAUGUGAAAUCCCGGGGCUCAACCCCGGAACUGCAUUCAAUACUGCCUUGCUAGAGUACUGGAGAGGAGAUUGGAAUUUACGGUGUAGCAGUGAAAUGCGUAGAUAUCGUAAGGAAGACCAGUGGCGAAGGCGGAUCUCUGGACAGUUACUGACACUGAGGCACGAAGGCCAGGGGAGCAAACGGG